rnacentral:rRNA from 1 species
UCUACGGGGGGCAGUAGUGAGGAAUAUUGGUCAAUGGACGAGAGUCUGAACCAGCCAAGUAGCGUGAAGGAUGACUGCCCUAUGGGUUGUAAACUUCUUUUAUAUGGGAAUAAAAUGUUCCACGUGUGGGAUUUUGUAUGUACCAUAUGAAUAAGGAUCGGCUAACUCCGUGCAAGCAGCCGCGGUAAUACGGAGGAUCCGAGCGUUAUACGGAUUACUUGGGUUUAAAGGGAGCGUAGGUUGUGUCUUAAGUCAGUUGUGAAAGUUAGCGGCUUAACCGUAAAAUUGCAGUUGAAACUGGCAGUCUUGAGUACAGUAGAGGUGGGCGGAAUUCGUGGUGUAGCGGUGAAAUGCUUAGAUAUCACGAAGAACUCCGAUUGCGAAGGCAGUUCACUGGACUGCAACUGACACUGAGGCUCGAAAGUGUGGGUAUCAAACAGGAUUAGAUACCCGGGUAGUC